rnacentral:rRNA from 1 species
AACAAGGUCUCCGUUGGUGAACCAGCGGAGGGAUCAUUACAGAGUUGCAAAACUCCCACAAACCAUCGCGAAUCUUACCCGUACGGUUGCCUCGGCGCUGGCGGUCCGGAAGGCCCUCGGGCCCCCGGAUCCUCGGGUCUCCCGCUCGCGGGAGGCUGCCCGCCGGAGUGCCGAAACCAAACUCUUGAUAUUUUAUGUUUCUCUGAGUAAACUUUUAAAUAAGUCAAAACUUUCAACAACGGAUCUCUUGGUUCUGGCAUCGAUGAAGAACGCAGCGAAAUGCGAUAAGUAAUGUGAAUUGCAGAAUUCAGUGAAUCAUCGAAUCUUUGAACGCACAUUGCGCUCGCCAGUAUUCUGGCGAGCAUGCCUGUUCGAGCGUCAUUUCAACCAUCAAGCUCUGCUUGCGUUGGGGAUCCGCGUCUGACGCGGUCCCUCAAAAACAGUGGCGGGCUCGCUAGUCACACCGAGCGUAGUAACUCUACAUCGCUAUGGUCGUGCGGCGGGUUCUUGCCGUAAAACCCCCAAUUUCUAAGGUUGACCUCGGAUCAGGUAGGAAUACCCGCUGAACUUAAGCAUAUCAAUAAGCGG